rnacentral:rRNA from 1 species
GACCCAGACUCCUACGGGAGGCAGCAGUGGGGAAUAUUGGGCAAUGGGCGCAAGCCUGACCCAGCAACGCCGCGUGAAGGAAGAAGGCUUUCGGGUUGUAAACUUCUUUUAAGAGGGACGAAACAAAUGACGGUACCUCUUGAAUAAGCCACGGCUAACUACGUGCCAGCAGCCGCGGUAAUACGUAGGGGGCAAGCGUUAUCCGGAUUUACUGGGUGUAAAGGGGGCGCAGACGGCGAUGCAAGCCAGGAGUGAAAGCCCGGGGCCCAACCCCGGGACUGCUCUUGGAACUGCGUGGCUGGAGUGCAGGAGGGGCAGGCGGAAUUCCUGGUGUAGCGGUGAAAUGCGUAGAUAUCAGGAGGAACACCGGUGGCGAAGGCGGCCUGCUGGACCGUGACUGACGUUGAGGCUCGAGAGCGUGGGGAGCAAACAGGAUUAGAUACCCGUGUA